GUGAGGAAUUUUCCGCAAUGGGCGAAAGCCUGACGGAGCAAUGCCGCGUGAAGGAUGAAGGCCUAUGGGUUGUAAACUUCUUUUCUUAGAGAAGAAUAUUGACGGUAUCUGAGGAAUAAGCAUCGGCUAACACUGUGCCAGCAGCCGCGGUAAGACAGAGGAUGCAAGCGUUAUCCGGAAUGAUUGGGCGUAAAGCGUCUGUAGGUGGCUUCAAAAGUCUCCUGUCAAAGAUCAGGGCUUAACCCUGGGCCGGCAGGUGAAACUCUGAGGCUAAGGUUUGGUAGGGGCAGAGGGAAUUCCCGGUGGAGCGGUGAAAUGCGUAGAGAACGGGAGGAACGCCAAAGGCGAAAGCACUCUGCUGGGCCACAACUGACACUGAGAGACGAAAGCGAGGGGAGCAAAAGGGAUUAGAAACCCGGGUAGUCC
rnacentral:rRNA from 1 species